rnacentral:rRNA from 1 species
UUCCUACGGGUGGCAGCAGUAGGGAAUAUUAGUUAAUGUGCGAAAGCGCGAACUAGCAACGCCGCGUGUGCGAUGAAGGCCUUCGGGUUGUAAAGCACUUUUCUAAGGGACGAGGAAGGACGGUACCUUAGGAAUAAGCAUCGGCUAACUACGUGCCAGCAGCCGCGGUAAAACGUAGGAUGCGAGCGUUAUCCGGAUUUACUGGGCGUAAAGCGCGUGUAGGCGGUUCGGUAAGUUGGAUGUGAAAGCUCCUGGCUUAACUGGGAGAGGUCGUUCAAUACUGCCGAGCUAGAGGAUGGUAGAGGGAGGUGGAAUUCCGAGUGUAGUGGUGAAAUGCGUAGAUAUUCGGAGGAACACCAGUGGCGAAAGCGGCCUCCUGGACCAUUUCUGACGCUCAGACGCGAAAGCUAGGGUAGCAAACGGGAUUAGAUACCCCGGUAGUC